GAUGAAGAACGCAGCAAAAUGCGAUAAGUAAUGUGAAUUGCAGAAUUCAGUGAAUCAUCGAAUCUUUGAACGCACAUUGCGCCCGCCAGUAUUCUGGCGGGCAUGCCUGUUCGAGCGUCAUUUCAACCCUCAAGCUCAGCUUGGUGUUGGGACUCGCGGUAACCCGCGUUCCCCAAAUCGAUUGGCGGUCACGUCGAGCUUCCAUAGCGUAGUAAUCAUACACCUCGUUACUGGUAAUCGUCGCGGCCACGCCGUAAAACCCCAACUGCUGAAUGUUGACCUCGGAUCAGGUAGGAAUACCCGCUGAACUUAAGCAUAUCAAUAAGCGGAGGA
rnacentral:misc_RNA from 1 species